rnacentral:rRNA from 1 species
UACAGGAGGGGCAAGCGUUAUUCGGAAUUAUUGGGCGUAAAGGGCGCGUAGGCGGCUUUGCAAGUGACGGGUGAAAUCCCUCGGCUUAACCGAGGAACUGCCUGUCAGACUGCAUGGCUUGAGACCGGGAGAGGUGAGUGGAAUUCCCAGUGUAGCGGUGAAAUGCGUAGAGUAUUGGGGAGGAACACCAGUGGCGAAGGGCGGCUCACUGGACCGGUACUGACGCUGAGACGCGAAAAGCGUGGGGAGCGAACAGG